rnacentral:rRNA from 1 species
UACGAAGGGGGCUAGCGUUGCUCGGAAUUACUGGGCGUAAAGCGCACGUAGGCGGCUUUCUAAGUCGGGGGUGAAAUCCUGGAGCUCAACUCCAGAACUGCCUUCGAUACUGGAGAGCUCGAGUCCGGGAGAGGUGAGUGGAACUGCGAGUGUAGAGGUGAAAUUCGUAGAAUAUUCGCAAGAACACCAGUGGCGAAAGGCGGCUCACUGGCCCGGGUAC